rnacentral:rRNA from 1 species
AGCGUCGCUCGCAGUGAGCUGUGGUGCACUCCAUGGACGUGCGCGUCAGCGUCGGUUCCAGACGAGUGAUGAGGUGCGUGGGGGAAGGUAGCUCGGCUCUUCGGAAUCGAGUGUUAAGACCCUGGCGCUGGGCUCGUCGUGGGACCGAGGAGAGAGAUGAUCGCUGCGGCACCUGCCUUUCGGGGCUAGCCAGCUGCUGUUAGAUUUGUGUCAGGCGUUGAGGACUGCACGCAGUGCUUGAUGUUGAGGCGUGGUCUAGUGGUGGUGUGGGUAUAGAGGUGCCUAGGACGCUGGCGUCCAAAUGGCCGUGCGCGACCCGUCUUGAAACACGGACCAAGGAGUCUAACAUGUGCGCGAGUCUUAGGGUGUACAAGCCCUCGGGCGGAAUGAAAGUGAAGGUUCGGCGUUGGUCGAGCUGAGGUGAGAGCUGUACGUGGAAUGAUUGCCACUGCGGCGCAUCAUCGGCCGGUCCGUCCUGCUCUCAGGAGGAUCCGAGCAAGAGCGUAUCUGUUGGGACCCGAAAGAUGGUGAACUAUGCCUGAAUAGGGUGAAGCCAGAGGAAACUCUGGUGGAGGCUCGUAGGGAUUCUAACGUGCAAAUUGAUCUCAAAAUUUGGGUAUAGGGGCGAAAGACUAAUCGAACCAUCUAGUAGCUGGUUCCCUCCGAAGUUUCCCUUAGGAUAGCUGGAACUCGAUAACACAGUUUUAUCAGGUAAAGCGAAUGAUUAGAGGUCUUGGGGGUGAAACACCCUCAACCUAUUCUCAAACUUUAAAUCGGUAAGAAGCGCGACUUGCUUAACUGAAGCCGCGCAGCCAAUGUGAGUUCCAAGUGGGCCAUUUUUGGUAAGCAGAACUGGCGAUGCGGGAUGAACCGAACGCUCGGUUAAGGUGCCAAAGUCGACGCUCAUCAGACCCCAGAAAAGGUGUUGGUUGAUAUAGACAGCAGGACGGUGGCCAUGGAAGUCGGAAUCCGCUAAGGAGUGUGUAACAACUCACCUGCCGAAUCAACUAGCCCUGAAAAUGGAUGGCGCUCAAGCGUCGCACCUAUACCGGGCCGUCGUCGUAAAUGCCAGGCGACGACGAGUAGGAGGGCGCGGUGGUCGUGAUGCAGCCCUUGGCGUGAGCCUGGGUCAAACGGCCUCUGGUGCAGAUCUUGGUGGUAGUAGCAAAUAUUCAAAUGAGAGCUUUGAAGACCGAAGUGGAGAAAGGUUCCAUGUGAACAGCAGUUGGACAUGGGUUAGUCGAUCCUAAGAGAUAGGGAAGUUCCGUAUCAAUGUGCGCAAUCGGUCUCGUGCCGCCUUGCGCCACCUAUCGAAAGGGAAUCGGGUUAAUAUUCCCGAACCGGAAUGCGGAUAUUCUCUGGCUUUCGGGUCAGGAGCGGCAACGCUAGCGAACCGCGAGACGUCGGCGGGGGCUCCGGGAAGAGUUGUCUUUUCUUUUUAACGCAGUCGCCAUCCCUGGAAUCGGUUUGCCCGGAGAUAGGGUUGGCUGGCUCGGUAAAGCAGCACACUUCAUGUGCUGUCCGGUGCGCUCUCGACGGCCCUUGAAAAUCGCGGGGGUGUACUGAUUU